rnacentral:tRNA from 1 species
CCGGCUUUAGCUCAGUUGGUAGUAGCAACAGACUGUAAAUCUGUGGGUCCUCGGUUCGACUCCGAGAAGCCGGA